GGCUCCUCUGUUGAUGUUAGAUAUUCCACCUCGCACUAUUACCCUACCUACGUUUCUUGUUAGCAGACACUUGCCGACUCCCAUCGACUUGCCUCCCCUUACAAGCGAUAGCCGCGCUUCUAUAGGGGAAUAUAUCCUACGUUCCACGUGGGAAAAUUCAUCACCCCAGGUAAUGACCCACCCGAUACACUACCCGGUCGUCGUACGCUCUCAUGAGGCACCAGCGUAACCCACAAUUACGACACCAACUUAAUGAUGACGGCAGAGGAAGGCCUGCAUAGCAUCAACGGGACGGAGGCAGUCUUGCCAGCCAUUUCUGCUACGUGUCACCACAGCACACUCAAGUGAUGAAAUACCUCGACCACCAGCCCAGCGUUCAACCAAAUCCAAUACUUAAAUCCUAUACAAAGUCUGUGUCGUUCAGUGGUCAAUGGUCUGUAAGAAGUCUUCCGCGCCGAGGCAGCCUGCCCUACAUCGCAAAGUACGGUCAGAAGUAAUAUCAUAUAUAGAAUAUCAAUAUAGAAAGUUUUCCUUAAUAUUAUAUAUUUAUAUCUAAUGAGGAUACAAUAAAAGUCACACUAAAGUCAAAAUGUAUUUAAGACUAAAAAUAUGUACAGAACAAAUUUGAACUUCCUGCAAUUUUGAAACUACUAGCUAUGUUUCUGUUCUCCCGCACAAAAGUGAGGUUAUCCAGAUUUUCCUUCUUACCAUCUAAGGCCAAAAUAGUUCUUCUUUAGAAAUAGCCUCAUAAAAUGAUACACAAUGCAGUACAUUCCAGCUAUACUUAAAAUGUAAUAACGUAUACAUUUUUUAUAAUAUUUUAUAAACGAGAUUUUUAGGAGCAUAUUACAACACUGAAAAACUAAUUAACUUAACUUCUUCUCACUGCCUACACAAUUUACGAGCAACAUGUUAACUGUCAAUUACCCUCUUGAAUUUUGCAACAAUGCAACUAAAGUAUAAAAGGCUUACAAAGUAAUUCUGCACAAGUGGAAAAUAAUCAACCGGCACUAAAUUUACAGGCAAUGCAAUCCAGAAGAACGAGACAAUAAACCAGUCAAGCAUUCAAAAAUCACUUGGGAAAAAUUAGCCAGGCAUAAUUACACAUUUAACACAUACACAUUUUUAUAUGUGCUUAUGAUUAAUAGUCGCGUAAUUAAAAAAAUUUGAGUAAAUAUGUACAUAUGUCGGUAGUCUGAUCGACUUCAAUGCCAAUGCCACGUUACGUAUACGCCAUGACAAACUUUUGCGAAUGUGAAACUUUAACAUUACACAAUUGAAUUGCACUAAUCAACAUUUUUAGAAACUUACUUCAGUUAUAUUUUCACCCGAAAAAUUAUGAAAAAAUGUACAACCGCUACGUAAACCCAACCGGCAGAUUGAUACUAACGCCUACAAGCAAUGUUUAUAGGUCGCCAGAGCAAAACGCGGGCAACGGGAACUCCGAUCAUAAUAGAGAGUAUUAAUGUUAAUAAAUAUUUUGAACCCCUGGAAAAGCUAAUGACAGUCAAGCCACAUACACUUUUAACUCCUACAAUAUAUAAAUGUAUAUAAAUGAAUUUGAAGACUAAACGGCGCAUGCGUUAAAAUGAGGCAUACAGCUGAUUACUGUACGGACCCAUUGGCAGCAGGAUGAGUAUCAAGUCGCAAAAAUAUUCUUAGAUGAAACGCAUAUGAGCUAAUCGACGUGGCAUUGCAUAUUAUUAUCAAAAAUUUGUAAAUCACAGCGAUUUCAAAACAACCGAAGUCGAUAAUUUUCGCACACAUGCGAUUGAAGACAAGCUCUCAAUACAUUAAAAAUAUAACUUUUUGCGAUUAAAAAAAUUGUAUUUAACAUUAGUUACACCAAUUUUUCACCACAAUAAAAACUGUGAUGGUA